CCUGGAAUAGUUCAGCGGUAGAACAAAAAUGCAGAGUUUACGUCGGUGGUUCGAUCCCACUUUCCAGGA
rnacentral:tRNA from 1 species